rnacentral:rRNA from 1 species
ACGCGAAAGUCCCCUUCGGGGGACAAGUAGAGUGGCGCACGGGUGAGUAACACGUAGGUAAUCUACCUUCGGGUGGGGAAUAACCCCGGGAAACCGGGGCUAAUACCGCAUAAUGCAGCGGCACCUAAUGGUGACAGUUGUUAAAGCGGGGGAUCGCAAGAUCUCGCGCCUGAAGAGGAGCCUGCGGCGGAUUAGCUAGUUGGCAGGGUAACGGCCUACCAAGGCGACGAUCCGUAACCGGCCUGAGAGGGCGGUCGGUCACACUGACACUGACAUACGGGUCAGACUCCUACGGGAGGCAGCAGUCGGGAAUUUUGGGCAAUGGGCGAAAGCCUGACCCAGCAACGCCGCGUGAAGGAUGAAAUCCCUCGGGAUGUAAACUUCGCAAGAACGGGAAGAAUAGGUUUGUGCUAACACCACAAGCGAUGACGGUACUGUUUGUAAGCUCCGGCUAACUCCGUGCCAGCAGCCGCGGUAAUACGGGGGGAGCAAGCGUUGUUCGGAUUUACUGGGCGUAAAGGGCGCGUAGGCGGCCUCCGCAAGUCACUUGUGAAAUCUCCGGGCUUAACUCGGAAAGGUCAACUGAUACUGCGGGGCUAGAGUGCGGAAGGGGCAACUGGAAUUCUUGGUGUAGCGGUGAAAUGCGUAGAUAUCAAGAGGAACACCUGCGGCGAAGGCGGGUUGCUGGGCCGACACUGACGCUGAGGCGCGAAAGCUAGGGGGAGCGAACGGGAUUAGAUACCCCGGUAGUCCUAGCCUUAAACGAUGAAUGCUUGGUGUCUGGGGUUAUAUAGU